UACGGGGGGAGCAAGCGUUGUUCGGAUUUACUGGGCGUAAAGGGCGCGUAGGCGGCCACCGCAAGUCGACUGUGAAAUCUCCGGGCUUAACUCGGAAAGGUCAGCCGAUACUGCGGGGCUAGAGUGCAGAAGGGGCAACUGGAAUUCUCGGUGUAGCGGUGGAAUGCGCAGAUAUCAGGAGGAACACCGAUGGCGAAGGCAGCUCGCUGGGACGGUACUGACGCUGAGGCGCGAAAGCGUGGGGAGCGAACAGG
rnacentral:rRNA from 1 species